rnacentral:rRNA from 1 species
GAGGAAUAUUGCUCAAUGGGCGAAAGCCUGAAGCAGCAACGCCGCGUGCGCGAUGAAGGUCUUCGGAUCGUAAAGCGCUUUUGAGAGGGACGAGAUAGGACGGUACCUCUUGAAUAAGUCACGGCUAACUACGUGCCAGCAGCCGCGGUAAAACGUAGGUGGCAAGCGUUAUCCGGAUUCACUGGGCGUAAAGCGCGUGCAGGUGGCUUCGUAAGUUGGACGUUAAAUCUUUCGGCCUAACCGGGAGGUGUCGUUCAAUACUGCGGGGCUUGAGGGUAGAAGAGGGGGGUGGAAUUGCCGGUGUAGUGGUGAAAUGCGUAGAUAUCGGCAGGAACACCUGUGGCGAAAGCGGCCCCCUGGUCUGCUCCUGACACUCAGACGCGAAAGCUAGGGGAGUGAACG